UAGGGAAUCUUCCACAAUGGGCGAAAGCCUGAUGGAGCAACGCCGCGUGUGUGAUGAAGGGUUCCGGCUCGUAAAACACUGUUGUAAGAGAAGAAUGACAUUGAGAGUAACUGUUCAAUGUGUGACGGUAUCUUACCAGAAAGGAACGGCUAAAUACGUGCCG
rnacentral:rRNA from 1 species